AUUGAACGCUGUCGGCAUGCUUAACACAUGCAAGUCGAACGGCAGCACAGUAAGUAGCAAUACUUAUGGGUGGCGAGUGGCGGACGGGUGAGUAACACGUAGGAAUCUACCCUAAAGCGGGCGACAACCCGAGGAAACUCGGGCUAAUACCGCAUAAUCUCUGAGGAGAAAAGCUGGGGCUACCUGGCACUUUAGGAGGACCCUGCGUCUGAUUAGCUAGUUGGUAGGGUAAAGGCCUACCAAGGCGACGAUCAGUAGCAGUUCUGAGAGGAUGAUCAGCCACGCUGGGACUGAGACACGGCCCAGACUCGUACGGGAGGCAGCAGUAGGAAAUAUUGGACAAUGGGGGCAACCCUGAUCCAGCAAUGCCGCGUGUGUGAAGAAGGCCUUCGGGUUGUAAAGCACUUUAGGCGGGGAAGAAGGUGCGGAGUUUAAGAGACACUGUAAUUGACGGUACCCGCAGAAUAAGCACCGGCUAACUCUGUGCCAGCCGCCGCCGUAACAC
rnacentral:rRNA from 1 species